rnacentral:rRNA from 1 species
UACGAAGGGGGCUAGCGUUGCUCGGAAUCACUGGGCGUAAAGCGCACGUAGGCGGAUUGUUAAGUCAGGGGUGAAAUCCUGGAGCUCAACUCCAGAACUGCCUUUGAUACUGGCGAUCUCGAGUCCGGGAGAGGUGAGUGGAACUGCGAGUGUAGAGGUGAAAUUCGUAGAUAUUCGCAAGAACACCGGUGGCGAAGGCGCACAUCUGGGCCAUAACUGACGCUGAGACGCGAAAGCGUGGGGAUCAAACAGG